rnacentral:rRNA from 1 species
GAUGAACGCUGGCGGCGUGCCUAAUACAUGCAAGUCGAGCGAACGGACGAGAAGCUUGCUUUUCUGAUGUUAGCGGCGGACGGGUGAGUAACACGUGGAUAACCUACCUAUAAGACUGGGAUAACUUCGGGAAACCGGAGCUAAUACCGGAUAAUAUUUUGAACCGCAUGGUUCAAAAGUGGAAGACGGUCUUGCUGUCACUUAUAGAUGGAUCCGCGCUGCAUUAGCUAGUUGGUAAGGUAACGGCUUACCAAGGCAACGAUGCAUAGCCGACCUGAGAGGGUGAUCGGCCACACUGGAACUGAGACACGGUCCAGACUCCUACGGGAGGCAGCAGUAGGGAAUCUUCCGCAAUGGGCGAAAGCCUGACGGAGCAACGCCGCGUGAGUGAUGAAGGUCUUCGGAUCGUAAAACUCUGUUAUUAGGGAAGAACAUAUGUGUAAGUAACUGUGCACAUCUUGACGGUACCUAAUCAGAAAGCCACGGCUAACUACGU